GGCAGGGAGACAGGAUAUCGCGAGUGUUGGAGUUUCGGCGAGAGUUUGUGGAAGAUGGCGCCUGUUGUGACAGGGAAGUUUGGGGAGCGCCCUCAACCACAGCGCCUAACAAGAGAAGCGAUGAGGAAUUACCUGAAGGAGCGAGGCGAUCAGACUGUCCUGAUCCUGCACGCGAAAGUUGCACAGAAAUCCUACGGCAAUGAAAAAAGGU